CAAACAAGAUGGUUAAAAUGUAAGUAAGACCAAAAUAACUGCGGGGCCGCGGUGGUUUUACAUGCUAAACAGCACCUCGUGUGACCCGACGCCAUGAAUAAUCAGCCCUGUGUUGUGGGCGAGAUGAUUAUUUGCUAUGUAAUUGUGUCAAGUGCUAAUAUCCCCCUGGAAGAAAGAAAAAAAAAACACACAAUCUCUGGGAUUAACAAACUCGAGUGGGAAGUGAAAAGGAGGACUUUUUAGGUUCUGCCCAUGUUGUGUGGAGGAGAAGGAUGGAGGACGCGGGGGUUCUAGUCAACGCCAACGCGAUCACUGCAAAAAGUGAUAUGGGUGUCCAAAGUGCGGCCCGGGGGCCAUUUGCGGCCCGCAGCUGAUUGUUUACCGGCCUGCCACACAUUCUGCAAAAAUUGCAAAAUUGAUAAUAUUGCAAACAUUUUCAAAAACAUUUUUAAAAAAGUGGAAUGAGGUGAAAUCUAACAAGAAAAAGUUGCAAUGUUGACACAAAGCUGCCAUGCAGGCUGUUUUUUUUCUUUUGUCUUUGUUUAUUUGUCUUUUUUUUGCCAUUGCUAAAAAAAAAAUAAAAAAAAUCUGUCAUGUC